rnacentral:rRNA from 1 species
GUGAGGAAUAUUGCGCAAUGGAGGCAACUCUGACGCAGCCAUGCCGCGUGCAGGAAGAAGGCGCUACGCGUUGUAAACUGCUUUUAACCGGGAAGAAACCCCAGGACGUGUCCUGGGUUGACGGUACCGGAGGAAUAAGCACCGGCUAACUUCGUGUCAGCAGCCGCGGUAAUACGAAGGGUGCAAGCGUUAUCCGGAUUCAUUGGGUUUAAAGGGUGCGUAGGCGGAGCGUUAAGUCAGUGGUGAAAUCCUGCAGCUUAACUGUAGACUUGCCAUUGAUACUGGCGCUCUUGAGUGCGCUUGAAGUGGGCGGAAUGUGCCGUGUAGCGGUGAAAUGCUUAGAUAUGGCACAGAACACCAAUUGCGAAGGCAGCUCACUAAGGCGAUACUGACGCUGAGGCACGAAAGCGUGGGGAUCGAACAGGAUUAGAAACCCGGGUAGUCC